GAGUGUGUAUUGUAAUGGUAACAUACCGCAUUUGGGAUGCGGAGUCGCAGUUCGAAUCUGACACACUCUA
rnacentral:tRNA from 1 species